rnacentral:rRNA from 1 species
UAGGGAAUCUUCCGCAAUGGACGAAAGUCUGACGGAGCAACGCCGCGUGAGUGAUGAAGGUUUUCGGAUCGUAAAACUCUGUUGUUAGGGAAGAACAAGUAUCGGAGUAACUGCCGGUACCUUGACGGUACCUAACCAGAAAGCCACGGCUAACUACGUGCCAGCAGCCGCGGUAAUACGUAGGUGGCAAGCGUUGUCCGGAAUUAUUGGGCGUAAAGCGCGCGCAGGUGGUUCCUUAAGUCUGAUGUGAAAGCCCACGGCUCAACCGUGGAGGGUCAUUGGAAACUGGGGAACUUGAGUGCAGAAGAGGAAAGUGGAAUUCCAAGUGUAGCGGUGAAAUGCGUAGAGAUUUGGAGGAACACCAGUGGCGAAGGCGACGUUCUGGUCUGUAACUGACACUGAGGCGCGAAAGCGUGGGGAGCGAACAGG